rnacentral:snoRNA from 2 species
GACCUCUCAGGGUCGCACCUGGAGAGUUUCCAGUACUCUACCAGUUGUGGCUAUGGGAGGGAGAGUCAAGCAGAGGCCUACCCAUUCCAGUCCUAGCUUGGCCAGUGGCUAGCGAAUGGAAGGCAAUCUGCUACACAU